rnacentral:rRNA from 1 species
UACGGAGGGGGCUAGCAUUGUUCGGAAUUACUGGGCGUAAAGCGCGCGUAGGCGGCCCUGCAAGUCGGGGGUGAAAGCCCGGGGCUCAACCUCGGAACUGCCUUCGAUACUGCGGGUCUCGAGUCCGGGAGAGGUGAGUGGAAUUCCUAGUGUAGAGGUGAAAUUCGUAGAUAUUAGGAAGAACACCAGUGGCGAAGGCGGCUCACUGGCCCGGUACUGACGCUGAGGCGCGAAAGCGUGGGGAGCAAACAGG